AUGGUCUCAGACUUGAAGGUGCUGACUUUAAUCUCGGCUUCUUCACACUCGCCUGCAAUCUGCCCGAGUGCUGAAGAAGUAGUUGCCUCCUCUGCUGCAGUCCACAGGAGGGAGUUUAGUUUCAUAAAAACUUUGUUACUAUUUCUUUCUGCAGUGGGUCGAGUUGCACCCACCCUGACGGUGCUGCCCCCCUCCAGUGAGGAGCUGCAGCAGGAGAAGGUCACAGUCCUGUGCCUGGCCAACAAGGGCUUCCCCUCAGACUGGAGUCUGGCCUGGAAGGUGGAGGGCAGCAGCAGCAGCAGCAGCUGGGAGGAGAGCAGGAGCCCCGGGGUGCUGGAGAAGGACGGCCUCUACAGCUGGAGCAGCACCCUGAGGCUCCCUGCGGACCAGUGGAGCAAGCUGGGCUCUGUGACCUGUGAGGCCACCCAGGGCUCCCAGACUCCGCUCUCAGAGACACUGAGGAGAGACCAGUGUUCCCAGUCCUGACCUGACUCACUGGGACUCUGCUACUGGUUUUACUCUGCUACUGCUCUCAGUCUGCAACAAUGUCUCUCUCUCUCUCUCUAUCUCUCUCUCUCUCUCUCUCUCUCUCUCUCUCUCUCACUUUCCAUAAUCUGACCACCUGAACGUUGUUCAAUUCAUACUGAUGUUUUCAUAGUUUUAAUGUUGCUGAUGUUGUUGCUUUACAUCAAUAAAAUUAUUUUCUUCAAAUUAAA